rnacentral:rRNA from 1 species
UACGUAGGUGACAAGCGUUAUCCGGAUUUAUUGGGCGUAAAGCGCACGCAGGCGGUCUAUCAAGUCUGACGUGAAAUCUCUCGGCUUAACCGGGAGCGGUCGUUUGGAAACUGAAGGACUUGAGGCGAUGAGAGGGGUGUGGAAUUCCCGGUGUAGCGGUGAAAUGCGCAGAUAUCGGGAGGAACACCGGUGGCGAAGGCGGUUCUCUGGACCGUAACUGACGCUGAGGCGCGAAAGCGUGGGGAGCAAACAGG